UGGCGGCGUGCCUCAGACAUGCAAGUCGAACGUGAAAGUUUCCUUCGGGAGACGAGUAAAGUGGCGCACGGGUGAGUAACACGUAGGUAAUUUGCCUUUGGGUGGGGAAUACCAACCGGAAACGGUUGUUAAUACCGCAUAACGCAAUAACAUCCAUGAUGAUGUUGUUAAAGUAGGGGAUUCGCAAGAACCUUACGCCUGAAGAGGAGCCUGCGGCAGAUUAGGUAGUUGGUGAGGUAAUGGCUCACCAAGCCUGCGAUCUGUAACCGACCUGAGAGGGUGGUCGGUCACACUGACACUGACAUACGGGUCAGACUCCUACGGGAGGCAGCAGUCGGGAAUUUUGGGCAAUGGGCGCAAGCCUGACCCAGCAACGCCGCGUGAAGGAUGAAGCAUUUCGGUGUGUAAACUUCGCAAGAAUAGGAAGAAUGAGUUUCGGCAAAUACCCGAAACAGUGACGGUACUAUUUGUAAGGUCCGGCUAACUACGUGCCAGCAGCCGCGGUAAUACGUAGGGACCAAGCGUUGUUCGGAUUUACUGGGCGUAAAGGGCGCGUAGGCGGCGUGUCAAGUCAAUUGUGAAAUCUCCGAGCUUAACUCGGAACGGUCAAUUGAUACUGAUGUGCUAGAGUGCAGAAGGGGCAAUCGGAAUUCUUGGUGUAGCGGUGAAAUGCGUAGAUAUCAAGAGGAACACCUGAGGUGAAGACGGGUUGCUGGGCUGACACUGACGCUGAGGCGCGAAAGCUAGGGUAGCAAACGGGAUUAGAUACCCCGGUAGUCCUAGCCCUAAACGAUGAAUACUUGGUGUCUGGAGUUUUAAUUCUCCGGGUGCCGUCGCUAACGUUUUAAGCAUUCCGCCUGGGGAGUACGCACGCAAGUGUGAAACUCAAAGGAAUUGACGGGGACCCGCACAAGCGGUGGAGCAUGUGGUUUAAUUCGACGCAACGCGAAGAACCUUACCUGAACUAGAAUGUGAGGGAAGAUUGGGUAAUUCCAAUCGUCCGGGCAACCGGACCCAAAACAAGGUGCUGCAUGGCUGUCGUCAGCUCGUGUCGUGGGAUGUUGGGUUAAGUCCCGCAACGAGCGCAACCCCUAUUAACAGUUGCUAACAAGUAAUGUUGAGAACUCUGUUAAGACUGCCGUUGAUAAAACGGAGGAAGGUGGGGAUGAUGUCAAGUCAUCAUGGCCUUUAUGUUCAGGGCUACACACGUGCUACAAUGGUUGGUACAAAACGUCGCAAACUCGCAAGAGUGAGCUAAUCGCAAAAACCAAUCUCAGUUCGGAUUGAAGUCUGCAACUCGACUUCAUGAAGUUGGAAUCGCUAGUAAUCGCAGAUCAGAAUGCUGCGGUGAAUACGUUCCCGGGUCUUGUACACACCGCCCGCCACAUCACGAAAGUAGGUUGUACUAGAAGUAGCUGGGCUAACCCGCAAGGGGGGCAAGUUACCACGGUAUGAUU
rnacentral:rRNA from 1 species